ACCUGGCUGGCUCAGUCAAUAGAGCAUCUGACUUUUGAUCUCUGGGUCAUGAGUUCAAGCCCCAUGUUAGGUG
rnacentral:tRNA from 1 species